UACAGAGGUCUCAAGCGUUGUUCGGAUUCAUUGGGCGUAAAGGGUGCGUAGGUGGCAUGGUAAGUCGGGUGUGAAAUCCCGGGGCUCAACCCCGGAACUGCACUCGAUACUACCGUGCUCGAGUACUGGAGAGGAGACUGGAAUUUACGGUGUAGCAGUGAAAUGCGUAGAUAUCGUAAGGAAGACCGGUGGCGAAGGCUAGUCUCUGGACAGUUACUGACACUGAGGCACGAAGGCCAGGGGAGCAAACGGG
rnacentral:rRNA from 1 species